GUUUGUGUUUCUUGGUAGUGGGACCGAGGAUGUGAAAAGGCCAUGGCUUUACCUUAAUCAUCGUGAAUGAAGCUUUUAAUUUUAUCUCAUUCAGUUCCCAUACCUCUGUUCUUACCCCUUUUCUUCCUGAACAGAACUUCAACCAAGAGUCAGAAAUUGUGAUCAGUGCUUGGGACCCAGAGACGCUUUCACAAGUGAGUUGGAAUUCGGAGUUCCCCCGACAGCAGCAACAAUCAAGUAAUGACUAAAAAUUGUGGCUGAGAUCCUGUCGGAGUCUGUGAUCUACAGCUUCACUCAAACUGGGGCUCUUCACGACGGUGGGUUCCUACUCCCAGAGCUUGUUGACCGGCUGUUGUUGAUAACUCCACGAAUGGCCUGGAAGAUGUGCACCUUCAGGUUGUGGCCUCAGGUGACCCCUGUGGACCCAAUUCCUGACCAAUAUCACCCACUGAAGUGUCGCAGGAGAUCAGAACAUCAAGACAGCAGAGGCUGUUGGAGGCCUCUGCACUUGAGCGAUAUCUCUCUCUCUCUCUCUCUCUCUCUCUCUCUCUCUCUCUCUCUCAAUGGGAAAAGAUGGGGGGGCGGGAGAGUCUGCUGGUUCUCAAGUCAGGUGAGCUCAAAUAAGCUUUGCUGGAGACUGUAACAUUGAAACAACAAGCUGUUGGUCUUCCCUCUUGCUGUGGAAAUAGUGACAUCUCUCUCCCCCUUGUCAGUGAGAGAGAGAGAGAACCUGUGGCAUGUCAAAGUGCUGGGUUAUGGACUAUAGUCUUUAAUGGAUCUAGAUCAUGGACUCUUUGGGGACUUUUGCUAUUGCU